GUGGGGAAUAUUGGACAAUGGGCGAAAGCCUGAUCCAGCCAUGCCGCGUGUGUGAAGAAGGUCUUCGGAUUGUAAAGCACUUUAAGUUGGGAGGAAGGGCAGUAAGUUAAUACCUUGCUGUUUUGACGUUACCAACAGAAUAAGCACCGGCUAACUUCGUGCCAGCAGCCGCGGUAAUACGAAGGGUGCAAGCGUUAAUCUGAAUUACUGGGCGUAAAGCGCGCGUAGGUGGUUCAGCAAGUUGAAGGUGAAAUCCCCGGGCUCAACCUGGGAACGGCCACCAAAACUACUGAGCUAGAGUACGGUAGAGGGUAGUGGAAUUUCCUGUGUAGCGGUGAAAUGCGUAGAUAUAGGAAGGAACACCAGUGGCGAAGGCGACUACCUGGACUGAUACUGACACUGAGGUGCGAAAGCGUGGGGAGCAAACAGGAUUAGAAACCCGUGUAGUCC
rnacentral:rRNA from 1 species